rnacentral:rRNA from 1 species
GAUCCCAUUCCGAACUCAGAAGUGAAACGUAUUAGCGGCGAUGGUAGUGUGGGGUUUCCCCAUGUGAGAGUAGCACACUGCCAGGU